rnacentral:rRNA from 1 species
AGUGAACGCUGGCGGUAGGCCUAACACAUGCAAGUCGAACGGCAGCACAGUAAGAGUUUGCUCUUACGGGUGGCGAGUGGCGGACGGGUGAGGAAUACAUCGGAAUCUACUUUUUCGGGGGGGAUAACGUAGGGAAACUUACGCUAAUACCGCAUACGACCUACGGGUGAAAGCAGGGGAUCUUCGGACCUUGCGCGAUUCAAUUAGCCGAUGUCGGAUUAGCUAGUUGGCGGGGUAAAGGCCCACCAAGGCGACGAUGCGUAGCUGGUCUGAGAGGAUGAUCAGCCACACUGGAACUGAGACACGGUCCAGACUCCUACGGGAGGCAGCAGUGGGGAAUAUUGGACAAUGGGCGCAAGCCUGAUCCAGCCAUACCGCGUGAGUGAAGAAGGCCUUCGGGUUGUAAAGCCCUUUUGUUGGGAAAGAAAAGCAGCAGGUUAAUACCCCGCUGUUCUGACGGUACCCAAAGAAUAAGCACCGGCUAACUUCGUG